rnacentral:rRNA from 1 species
AGAGUUUGAUCCUGGCUCAGAUUGAACGCUGGCGGCAUGCCUAACACAUGCAAGUCGAACGCGAAAGGGGGCAACCCUGAGUAGAGUGGCGGACGGGUGCGUAACACGUAGGAAUCUACCCAGUAGCGGGGGACAACCCGGCGAAAGCCGGGCUAAUACCGCAUAAGCCCUAUGGGGGAAAGCAGGGGAUCUUCGGACCUUGCACUAUUGGAUGAGCCUGCGGCGGAUUAGCUAGUUGGUAGGGUAAAGGCCUACCAAGGCGACGAUCCGUAGCUGGUCUGAGAGGACGACCAAGCCACACUGGACUGAGACACGCC